GGUCAAGUGAAGAAGCGCAUACGGUGGAUGCCUUGGCAGUCAGAGGCGAUGAAAGACGUGGUAGCCUGCGAAAAGCUUCGGGGAGUCGGCAAACAGACUGUGAUCCGGAGAUGUCUGAAUGGGGGAACCCAGCCAUCAUAAGAUGGUUAUCUUGUACUGAAUACAUAGGUGCAAGAGGCGAACCAGGGGAACUGAAACAUCUAAGUACCCUGAGGAAAAGAAAUCAACCGAGAUUCCCUUAGUAGUGGCGAGCGAACGGGGACUAGCCCUUAAGUGGCUUUGAGAUUAGCGGAACGCUCUGGAAAGGGCGGCCAUAGUGGGUGAUAGCCCUGUACGCGAAAAUCUCUUAGUCAUGAAAUCGAGUAGGACGGAGCACGAGAAACUUUGUCUGAAUAUGGGGGGACCAUCCUCCAAGGCUAAAUACUACUGACUGACCGAUAGUGAACUAGUACCGUGAGGGAAAGGCGAAAAGAACCCCGGAGAGGGGAGUGAAAUAGAUCCUGAAACCGUAUGCGUACAAGCAGUGGGAGCCCACUUUGUUGGGUGACUGCGUACCUUUUGUAUAAUGGGUCAGCGACUUAUUUUCAGUGGCGAGCUUAACCGAAUAGGGGAGGCGUAGCGAAAGCGAGUCUUAAUAGGGCGUCUAGUCGCUGGGAAUAGACCCGAAACCGGGCGAUCUAUCCAUGGGCAGGUUGAAGGUUGGGUAACACUAACUGGAGGACCGAACCGACUACCGUUGAAAAGUUAGCGGAUGACCUGUGGAUCGGAGUGAAAGGCUAAUCAAGCUCGGAGAUAGCUGGUUCUCCUCGAAAGCUAUUUAGGUAGCGCCUCAUGUAUCACUGUAGGGGGUAGAGCACUGUUUCGGCUAGGGGGUCAUCCCGACUUACCAAACCGAUGCAAACUCCGAAUCUACAAGUGCCGAGCAUGGGAGACACACGGCGGGUGCUAACGUCCGUCGUGAAAAGGGAAACAACCCAGACCGUCAGCUAAGGUCCCAAAGUUAUGGUUAAGUGGGAAACGAUGUGGGAAGGCUUAGACAGCUAGGAGGUUGGCUUAGAAGCAGCCACCCUUUAAAGAAAGCGUAAUAGCUCACUAGUCGAGUCGGCCUGCGCGGAAGAUGUAACGGGGCUCAAACCAUACACCGAAGCUACGGGUAUCACUUAGGUGAUGCGGUAGAGGAGCGUUCUGUAAGCCUGUGAAGGUGAGUUGAGAAGCUUGCUGGAGGUAUCAGAAGUGCGAAUGCUGACAUGAGUAACGACAAUGGGUGUGAAAAACACCCACGCCGAAAGACCAAGGUUUCCUGCGCAACGUUAAUCGACGCAGGGUUAGUCGGUCCCUAAGGCGAGGCUGAAAAGCGUAGUCGAUGGAAAACAGGUUAAUAUUCCUGUACUUCUGGUUAUUGCGAUGGAGGGACGGAGAAGGCUAGGCCAGCUUGGCGUUGGUUGUCCAAGUUUAAGGUGGUAGGCUGGAAUCUUAGGUAAAUCCGGGAUUCUAAGGCCGAGAGCUGAUGACGAGUUACCCUUUGGGUGACGAAGUGGUUGAUGCCAUGCUUCCAAGAAAAGCUUCUAAGCUUCAGGUAACCAGGAACCGUACCCCAAACCGACACAGGUGGUUGGGUAGAGAAUACCAAGGCGCUUGAGAGAACUCGGGUGAAGGAACUAGGCAAAAUGGCACCGUAACUUCGGGAGAAGGUGCGCCGGUGAGGGUGAAGCACUUGCUGCGUAAGCCCACGCCGGUCGAAGAUACCAGGCCGCUGCGACUGUUUAUUAAAAACACAGCACUCUGCAAACACGAAAGUGGACGUAUAGGGUGUGACGCCUGCCCGGUGCCGGAAGGUUAAUUGAUGGGGUUAGCUAACGCGAAGCUCUUGAUCGAAGCCCCGGUAAACGGCGGCCGUAACUAUAACGGUCCUAAGGUAGCGAAAUUCCUUGUCGGGUAAGUUCCGACCUGCACGAAUGGCGUAACGAUGGCGGCGCUGUCUCCACCCGAGACUCAGUGAAAUUGAAAUCGCUGUGAAGAUGCAGUGUAUCCGCGGCUAGACGGAAAGACCCCGUGAACCUUUACUAUAGCUUUGCACUGGACUUUGAAUUUGCUUGUGUAGGAUAGGUGGGAGGCUUUGAAGCGUGGACGCCAGUUCGCGUGGAGCCAACCUUGAAAUACCACCCUGGCAACUUUGAGGUUCUAACUCAGGUCCGUUAUCCGGAUCGAGGACAGUGUAUGGUGGGUAGUUUGACUGGGGCGGUCUCCUCCUAAAGAGUAACGGAGGAGUACGAAGGUGCGCUCAGACCGGUCGGAAAUCGGUCGUAGAGUAUAAAGGCAAAAGCGCGCUUGACUGCGAGACAGACACGUCGAGCAGGUACGAAAGUAGGUCUUAGUGAUCCGGUGGUUCUGUAUGGAAGGGCCAUCGCUCAACGGAUAAAAGGUACUCCGGGGAUAACAGGCUGAUACCGCCCAAGAGUUCAUAUCGACGGCGGUGUUUGGCACCUCGAUGUCGGCUCAUCACAUCCUGGGGCUGAAGCCGGUCCCAAGGGUAUGGCUGUUCGCCAUUUAAAGUGGUACGCGAGCUGGGUUUAGAACGUCGUGAGACAGUUCGGUCCCUAUCUGCCGUGGACGUUUGAGAUUUGAGAGGGGCUGCUCCUAGUACGAGAGGACCGGAGUGGACGAACCUCUGGUGUUCCGGUUGUCACGCCAGUGGCAUUGCCGGGUAGCUAUGUUCGGAAAAGAUAACCGCUGAAAGCAUCUAAGCGGGAAACUUGCCUCAAGAUGAGAUCUCACUGGGACCUUGAGUCCCCUGAAGGGCCGUCGAAGACUACGACGUUGAUAGGUGGGGUGUGUAAGCGCUGUGAGGCGUUGAGCUAACCCAUACUAAUUGCCCGUGAGGCUUGACCAU
rnacentral:rRNA from 1 species